GAUAAACGCUGGCGGCGUGCGUAAUGCAUGCAAGUCGAACGAUCUCGAUUUAUCGGGAUAGUGGCAAACGGGUGAGUAAUGCGUAAGUAACCUGUCCCCGAGUACGGAAUAACUCUGAGAAAUUGGAGCUAAUACCGUAUAAGGUGGUGGGGGUAAAGCCUCAUCAUCAAAGCCUUCGGGCGCUGGGGGAGGGGCUUGCGUCCGAUUAGCUAGUUGGUAGAGUAACGGUUUACCAAGGCGAUGAUCGGUAGCUGGUCUGAGAGGAUGAUCAGCCACACUGGGACUGAGACACGGCCCAGACUCCUACGGGAGGCAG
rnacentral:rRNA from 1 species